rnacentral:rRNA from 1 species
UACGUAGGUGGCAAGCGUUGUCCGGAAUCAUUGGGCGUAAAGCGCGUGUAGGCGGUUCGGUAAGUCCGCUGUGAAAGUCGGGGGCUCAACCCUCGAAAGCCGGUGGAUACUGUCGGGCUAGAGUACGGAAGAGGCGAGUGGAAUUCCUGGUGUAGCGGUGAAAUGCGCAGAUAUCAGGAGGAACACCAAUUGCGAAGGCAGCUCGCUGGGACGUUACUGACGCUGAGACGCGAAAGCGUGGGGAGCAAACAGG